rnacentral:rRNA from 1 species
CUGCCCUUCAGGGGAGAACAACUCAUCGAAAGGUGAGCUAAAUCUCCGUAAUGUUUUACUAUGGCAUCAUAGUUCAACCAAGUUUUCUGAGGGAUGAGCCUGCGUCUGAUUAGCUAGUUGGUGAGGUAACUGCUCACCAAGGCUACGAUCAGUAGCUGGUCUGAGAGGAUGAUCAGCCACAUUGGGACUGAGACACGGCCCAG